rnacentral:rRNA from 1 species
UCGAGAUUUUGCCUCGGGUACAAUUGAGACAGGUGGUGCAUGGUUGUCGUCAGCUCGUGUCGUGAGAUGUUGGGUUAAGUCCCGCAACGAGCGCAACCCUUGUGUUUAGUUGCAAACAGGUCAAGCUGUGCACUCUAGACAGACUGCCGUGGACAACACGGAGGAAGUGGGGAUGACGUCAAAUCAUCAUGCCCCUUAUGAUCUGGGCUACACACGUGCUACAAUGGCCGGUACAACGGGCAGCGAAGGAGCGAUCCGGAGCGAAUCCUAAAAAGCCGGUCCCAGUUCGGAUUGCAGGCUGAAACUCGCCUACAUGAAGUUGGAGUUGCUAGUAAUCGCGAAUCAGAAUGUCGCGGUGAAUGCGUUCCCGGGUCUU